ACCUACGGGGGGCAGCAGUGGGGAAUAUUGCACAAUGGGCGAAAGCCUGAUGCAGCAACGCCGCGUGAAGGAAGACGGUUUUCGGAUUGUAAACUUCUGUCAGUGGGGACGAUAAUGACGGUACCCACGGAGGAAGCCACGGCUAACUACGUGCCAGCAGCCGCGGUAAUACGUAGGUGGCAAGCGUUGUCCGGAAUUACUGGGUGUAAAGGGAGCGUAGGCGGGAUGUCAAGUCAGAAGUGAAAAUUAUGGGCUCAACUCAUAACCUGCUUUUGAAACUGAUAUUCUUGAGUGAAGUAGAGGCA
rnacentral:rRNA from 1 species